rnacentral:lncRNA from 1 species
UUCCCCUAUUCCUGGCUUUUAAGGGCAGGGGCAGAGUUGUCUCAGCCCCUAGGCCACUGGCCCGUCCUGCUGCUCUGCUCCGGGGGAGGAGAUGCUGGAGAAGCUGGCGGUAAGGAUUUUUCUCCCCUCUCUGCUAGGCAGCGGGAGGCUCUGGGGCCAUUCCCAGGACGGCAGCCCUCGCCUUGCCCAGCUCUGCGUGUUGGGGCUGCCUCGGCGGGGAGCGUGCCUGCCUCUUUGAAAACCCACAAGCGUUGCCUCAGCUUGCAGGCAGCCGGCGGCCGGGAGCCUCCCGGGGCUGUGCCUGCGCAGGCUGGGACAGGAUCCCCGCUUGCAGUGGCCAGAUGAGGUGUGGGCAGGAGGGAUGACCUCCCCCUUGCUGGGAUUCCUGGAGCUGGGCUGCAUCGGCCUCAGAUAUCCACCAGCUCCGUGGGUCAGUGAGCUCAGGAGGGAAUUGGGACCCCCCAUUCCCUGCAGGUUGCUUGGAUGAGGACAGGCGCAGCUUGGCUUUGGCUGGUGGCACCCGCUGCCCGCGCUGUCCCAAGGCAGGGCUGGUGCUGAGCUGUGGGCCGGGGCUGGACAGAGUCCUGGCCUCUCCUCCUUACCCCAAAAAAUGUCGAGGAGAGCCUCGCCUGUGGCUGGGAGAGGUGGCUGUGUGUCCGUGCGGAGCUCUCCUGAUGGCACGGACAGGGAGACACGUCCCAGACGCACCCCGAUCCUCCUGGAGGGCAGGGGAAGGGCCACGGCGAUGGUAACCAGGCACCCUGUUUGUUUGGGUGCAGUGCCCAUACGGGAUGGGAAAAGGAUGUGAGCUGACACAGGGAUUAGGGAGUAUCUGCUCACCGUUUCCCACACCAAAUACACCCUUCCAGUUAACAACAGCUCUCGAUGACUUCUUACACCUUGGAUACAGAACACACAGAAACAGGAUUACGGUCACGGGGCGGGGACUGGAAAGUAAAACUCGAUCCCUGGAGGGAAGCUCUUUGAUUUAA